rnacentral:lncRNA from 1 species
AUGUUGGCUUCAUCCAUGCUCGGUAGCUGAAGGGGUUCAGGGGGUGAGAGGGGAGCUGCCUUUGCUAGUAAGCCCAUGCUCUGUGGCCUCUGGGGUUCCUCGACGUCCAUGCCAGGGCUGCUAAGCCCAGCUGGGCAGACCUCACCCUCUGGUGGUGAAAGACACCCACAGGCCUGGGCCACUUCUGCCCGAUGCAUCCUGAAGUGCAGUGAAGUGCAGGAUGCAUCACUUCAGGAUGUGCAGUCCUGAAGGCCACGUUUAUCCAGGGGAGAAUCUGCUCACUUGUUCACCUUCCUCAUUUUGCCCAUUUCUAUUUCAAAGCCGUUUCCCAACUUCUAAGACACCCACUUCACUUGCUGUUUUUCAGAGUGGGGAUGUAAGAAUUUAUAGGAAGUCUCAAAUUGGUGACAGAUGAAUUCUGUGGGGCCGGGGCAAAAAAGGAGGCCAGCCUUGCUGUUGGGGUUUUAGGUAGAAUGUCAUUAACAUUUCCCACCAAACACAGAGUGUCUGGUUCACCUGCCAUGAAUUAAAUUGGGGCAAGAGUCUCCAAUGUAAAGAUGUGGUCCUGGUUCCUGUGCUUCAGUAGAAACCUAAACCCGGGGCUCCAGGUGACUUGUAACUCUUGCAUUUGAGUUUUUGUUGUUUCAGAAAAGUUCCAGGAAGAAGCUCAGCCCUAGGAGAAUACAAACCGAUUGGAUCAGGAGACCCCUGAGUUGGAGAUGAACAUUGGCAAACUCCCCUCGUCGCCGUGGUGACCUCCCGUCAUUAUCACAGUGAACUCCCCUCGUAGCCGUGGUGAACUCCCCUCAUUAUCAUGGUGAACCCCCUUCCUCGCCGUGGUGAACUCCCCUCAUUAUAACAGUGAACUACCCUCAUAAUCAUGGUGAACUCCCCUCAUCACC